CACGCGCUCCAGUGGGCCCCGCCCUCAACAACCGCGUCGCCGCCACCCAGUACAUCCUCGAGGUCCGCAAUUCCCCGUGCUUCCUAAUUCGUAGCUUCUGACUGCAGCUGGUACAAUAGAGGAAUGCUUGUUUGGUCCGAGACGCAGUUCAGUUGUUUUGCAACCUAAUUCACAUCGCUGGCCUAUUGAUCAGCUCCAAAUUUCGUAGCCGAACUGCAGUUUAGCUCCUGCUGAAUGUUUUCUGAUGUCCACACUGUUGUCCACUUGCUGUUGCAAAUUUUGCAAUUGCCAUGGGCUGAUGUGUGAUUUUGGUUCGUGGCUUGCAAUGACGGGAAAGUAUGAUACCAUCCUUUUGUUCUGGGGUUCUUUCCUGGGAUCAAUGGGCAUCUGGUAUACGUUUUGGGCUUUACUUUUAUGCUAUUUUUGUAUGUAAUUCUUUUCACUAGAUGUGUCUACAGGGUAUAGAAAUAUUGUUGCAUUUCCUUUUUAUAUUUUGGGUUUGAAGAACAGCAAAUUUGUUUCUGAAAUGAUUUUGAACUACAUUUCUGUUCUUAUAGAUGCUUCAGAAGUAUAUAAAUGUGACAUCAAAAUAAUUAAGCUUGUUUAACUUAAGUGUUCUUAUUAUUUACCAUUUUAUCUGUAGAUUUUUUCCUUUACAUGCUUGUGCCGCCACGUACUCCGGCUCCGUCAAUCCCAGCCUCGAAUUCUUCCAGGUUGUUCCCAACACGCCGCCCGAGCGUGUGCGCGAGCUCCUAGCCACCGCCAGCGCCCACGACCUGCUCACCAGUCACCACCCUCAAGCUCGUGUACAACCUCCGCGGCGUCGGCAGCACCGGUAAAUCCGACAAGUAGGGCUUCUAUGCUGCCGCUCUCUGGAUGCAUGCCGAGCACCCCAAGACGCUCGCCUACAACGUUGCCCCUGGUCUUGGCCGCAGCCAUGCUGUGUGUGUGCACGCCCAGGAAGCUCAGCCGGGCUACUGCUUUGUUCUCUUUGCAAUUUGCUAGCUAGGUUGGGUUGGAUCUUCUUCUCCCUUGCCUGUGACCACUGGCCUCAUCUUGCCGAUGCAGCCGUCCUUUCCCACUUGGUUGGGAAGAAUAUCAUGAGAUUCGCCGUGGUUGAGAGGUGGAGAUGGAAAUGAAAUCGUUUUUACCAGUGCAUGUGACAGGAGUAAGAGAAGAGCGAAGGAAGUGAUUUAAACGCUUCACUGGAAGGUAAGAUAUAUAUUAUCUUCAGUGCUGAGCUUGAUCCAAUUAUUUUUAGGUACAGAAAAGAAAUCUGAAUAUUUCUAUUAACUUAGAAAGUGAUUUCACUUCCAAACAAAACUAUUGAAUUUAUGUGUGUCUAAAAAGAUACAUUCUCAACUCAGUCUUGAUAUCGCCCUAGAUGCAUUCCUCAUCAUAU